CACCCACUAACCCUCUUCUUCUUCUUCUCUCAGUAUAAAGUACAGCGUGGCUCAGGGGAAGGAGGGGAUCAUCGACUUCACGCCCGGAUCAGAACUCCUGGUGGCCAAAGCCAAGAAUGGACACCUGUCUGUGACGGCUCCAAGACUGAACUCCAGAUGAUGACACACACACACACACACACACACACACACACACACACACACACACACACACACACACACACACACACACACACACACCCCUCCUCCAAUCAGACGCCAGCUGUCACUCCAGGUGGAAUGUGCUUCCAAUAACAGAAAAGACAAAAAAAAUACAAAUCCAGCAAACUAAUUGAUAUAUUUAUGUUUAUAUAUUAUAUUUUUGGGGCGUUAAUACUGUUGCUGUUUGAAUAUUUUCUGAUUUUAUAUACGAGGCCAAGGAAUAACAAAUAUCGCGGUGCGUUUUUCUCGCACCGCGUGUGUUUAAUGUGCUUUAUUUUUGGGAACUUGACCAAGGAAACAAUGAGGGAAGGUGUCAGAAUAAGAGGAGAAGCCGUCGAUGAAAACCAGGGUUUGUUUCUUGCCUCAAAUGAAACUUUAUUUACUUUCAACUUUUCUAACCGGGGGUUGUUUUGAAGGUGGGCAGAGUAGAGGGUCGGGGAUUGAAGGGAUCCUUGUGUUUUGAAUAAGAGAUUCUGUGGGAUUCACUACAAGAAACUGAAGAGUAAAAGCAUGUGAGAGACGGCGAGAGGAAUGUGAACAGGAAGCUGAAAGACGUGCCUUUCCAUCUUUUCUUUGACUAAUUUAUUCGAUAUUAACGGAUGAAAACCAUGACACUCAACGUGAGAAUGAGUCGAGUUCAGAUUAGAUUAAAACCCUGAGUUUUCCCCCCAUGUCCUCCCUGCUUUGCCUCCCCCCCUCACCUGAGACUGAACUGCUCUGAUGUUUUUACUUUAGAUUAAUAUUCAAUAUCUUUCUCUGUAUUUGAAAAGCAUUUAUACCAAAAAGUGCGACGAAAACUCAAUUUAAAGCCACAUUAAGUCGGGGAUAGAUGUGAUGUGUUCUGAUUUGUGAUUUGUGCAGACAAUCAAUUAUCAUGAUAUUUUUUGACCAAAUUAGUCAAUAUUGAAAUGCCAAAAACAUGUACGCAAUGAAAUUUUUGAUGAUCUUUAAUGUUGUUAUUUGUUUGUUUUUUGGUGGAAAUCUGUGUUAGUAUAUUGACUAAAUAAAGACAAAAAAACUUCAUAUUUGAGAGGCUGAAAACAGCAUUUAGAGACAUUUUCUUGCAUAAAAAAUGCAGCUCUAAUGGCACAUAAACAUAUAUUAAACUGUUCCUUUGAUACCAGAAAAUAUAAAACAUUCAAAGGUUUUCCAGGGUAGAAAAUUGUAUCUUGUUAUGCAAUAUUAAAAAUAGUAAUACAAAAUUGUAUUAAAAUAUUUCUACACUAUAAAAAAUUAAAUAUUUUAGUAAAAUAUUUCUACACUAAAAAAAGUUAAAGAAAUUAUUCAAACAUAGUAAAAUGUUUUUCUGAAAUACUUCUACACUAAAAAUAAAAUAUCCCAGCAGUUCAGAUGAAGGUUUCCUGCAGAACAUUUCUCCGUCUAGCGUUGACCAGAGACUGAUCCUCUUAAAGUUUAAAAUGUAAAACUUUGAAGAGGAGCUCGAACAUUUUGCCAAGUUAUUUUUUGUUCUCGACGACGUGACUUCCUCUGUGCACGGCUCCGCACUUAAAGAGAACUAGCCAAAGAUUUUGAUUUCUAGUGAUUCUGAUGUAUGAUUUAUAUGAUGAUAUUAUUAUAUUGUUGUUUUUCAGGAGGGAGAUCUAUAUGUACAGUUUGUGUUAUAAAUGAGAGGAAAAGCUACGAUGCAAACGUGUUCCUGUGCCUUGUUUGAUAAAGAAACUGCAGAUUUAUGUGGAAUAUGACAUAAAGAAACUAAACAUGCUCCUGUGUUUUGAAUCACUGAUGCACUCCUGACUCACUGUAUGCACCAAACCAAUGUAUGAUUAUACAAACACACUAAAAGAUGAGAUACUAAAGAUUUGAAAAUAAAUUUGAAAAUUAAAAUUU